AGACAUGUUAGGGAAAACGAAAUUAAGGUGGCCGGAAGGGUGAGAGGCACGGUAUCAUCCGGAUCAGGAGCAGGCGGAUCAAGACGAUGAGCUUGGUGAGGCGGAGAUCGGCGGGUGGUGGCAUGGCACCGUCCAACCUUUCUACCUCGCGGCGGAUCGAUUGGCGCCUCAAAGGCCAAUUCUGGCGGCGGCGCAGCCGGGCAAGUCGCCUGUUU
rnacentral:lncRNA from 1 species